UUGCGGAGAGUGGAGUAGUGUCCGUUGUCGUGACUCACCAGAGAGUGGUGGAGCUGUGUGGAAUCCGUUGCAGAGAAUGGAGUAGGGUGGCGGUUCUUGUCGUGGCUUGUCAGAGAGUGGUGGAGCCGCGUGGAAUCUGUUGCAGCAAGUGAAGUAAGGUAGUGGCCCUUGUCGUGACUUGCCAGAGAGCUUGGAUCCGUCGGUUGAAGCUCGACUGGGAUGCCUGAUGGAGCAGAAUGGCCCUUUACAUCAUCGUUCUAGGAGAGGCUC
rnacentral:lncRNA from 1 species